UACGUAGGGUGCGAGCGUUAAUCGGAAUACUGGGCGUAAAGCGUGCGCAGGCGGUGAUGUAAGACAGAUGUGAAAUCCCCGGGCUUAACCUGGGAACUGCAUUUGUGACUGCAUAGCUGGAGUACGGCAGAGGGGAGUGGAAUUCCGCGUGUAGCAGUGAAAUGCGUAGAUAUGCGGAGGAACACCGAUGGCGAAGGCAGUCCCCUGGGCCUGUACUGACGCUCAUGCACGAAAGCGUGGGAGCAAACAGG
rnacentral:rRNA from 1 species